AAGACCUUGCGCUUUUGGAGCGGCCGAUGCCUGAUUAGCUUGUUGGUAAGGUAAAAGCUUACCAAGGCUUCGAUCAGUAGCUGGUUUGAGAGGACGACCAGCCACACUGGGACUGAGACACGGCCCAGACUCCUACGGGAGGCAGCAGUGGGGAAUUUUGGACAAUGGGGGCAACCCUGAUCCAGCCAUGCCGCGUGAGUGAAGAAGGCCUUCGGGUUGUAAAGCUCUUUCAGCCGGAACGAAACGGUUACGGAUAACACCCGUGACUACUGACGGUACCGGAAGAAGAAGCACCGGCUAACUACGUGCCAGCAGCCGCGGUAAUACGUAGGGUGCGAGCGUUAAUCGGAAUUACUGGGCGUAAAGCGUGCGCAGGUGGUUUUGUAAGUCAGAUGUGAAAGCCCCGGGCUCAACCUGGGAACU
rnacentral:rRNA from 1 species